AACAACUAAGAUCUUCGUUGCGCUCCGCGGUUGCAUCGCCUGCACUGGUAUCAUCGGCACCUGCAACUGUUGUGAUAGUAUCUGGUGAGUCACGAGGACUCAGCAAUCUCAAAACCCGCGAGAUCAAGACUAUUUAAGCUUAUGGGUAGGAAGUGGUAAAGUGGUGAGGUUGUAGCAGCGACUAGCAUAUAAGGUGGCUAACAUACGCAAAUAAGAGCGAGAAGAGAGGAACGGUCGUGGACUAGCAAUGAUCAAGAAGUGAUCCUGAACUCCUACUUACGUCAAACAUAACCCAAAACCGUGUUCACUUCCCGGACUCCGCCGAAAAGAGACCAUCACGGCUACACACACAGUUGAUGCGUUUUAAUUCGGAUCUGGUGUCAAGUUAUCUACAACAAGACAUUAACAAAUUCCCAUCUGCCUAUAACCGCAGGCACGGCUUUCGAAAGAUUAUACCCUGCAGGGGUGUCCCAACUUAGCCCAUGACCAGCUCUCGCGAUCAACGAAGGAAUAAACCUUCUCCCAGGAAGACCCGAUCAGACUCGGAAUCCCGGUUUAUAAGACAUUUCGACAAUGGUAAAACAAGAUCAGCAAAGCCUCCCGCUGUGCCGACAAAUCCCGAUAGGAGCUGCACAUAUCUCGUUCUCAGGGCACACCGGAUUGUCCAAACUUCCGGUAGGCCAGCCCAGAGUUGCCCCUGGUGGCCACCGGCGGUUGACAGGUUGGACCAACACUCACGACGAGCACUGGCCCGGGGGGGUAAAAUAAAGAUGACCCUUGAGUCUGCAGAACCCAAGGGAAAAAGGCUUAGGUAGGCAAAUGGUAAAACCAAGGUUGGGCCUUGCUGGAGGAGUUUUAUUCAAAGCGAACUAUCAAGGGGGUCCCAUAAAUCACCCAACCGCGUAAGGAACGCAAAAUCCGGGAACAUAACACCGGUAUGACGGAAACUAGGGUGGCAAGAGUGGAACAAAACACCAGGCAUAAGGCCGAGUCUUCCACCCUUUACCAAGUAUAUAGAUGCAUUAAAUAAAUAAGAGAUAUUGUGAUAUCCCAAAAUAAUCCUGUCCAUCGUGGAGCAAUCUUCAACUUCACCUGCAACUAACAAUGCUAUAAGAGGGGCUGAGCAAAGCGGUAACAUAGCCAAGCAACGGUUUGCUAGGAAGGGUGAAAAGGUUAGCGGCUGACAUGGCAAUAUGGGAGGCAUGGAAAACAAGUGAUAGAUAGCGCAGCAUAGCGAUAGAACGAAGCAACUAGCAAGCAAAGAUAGAAGUGAUAUCGAGGGUAAUGGUCAUCUUGCCUGAAAUCCCGAUAGGAAGAAGAACAAGUCCAUGAAGAAGACAAACAGACGUAGUCGAACGAAUCCUCACAACUCCGGAACGAAACCGAAGCUAACGAGAGAAGCAAACCGGAAAGAAGCAAACAACAUGGUAAACACACAAGCAUAAUCAUGGCAUGAUGCACAACCAAAUAUGAUGCAUGUCCGGUUUAAUGAGGCAUGGCAUGGAAAAGCAAACAACACUACAAUUUAAGUGGAGCUCAAUAUGCAACGAGUUGCAUAUUGACGAAACACCACAUCAAUUAUUUAGUUUCUCUCUCGGUUAUGAACACAACAAUAUUAAAUGUUGAUUAACAUGGCAAGAGGUGAAGCAUGAGCAAACCACCUAUUUAGGCAAGUUUAAAUGAGGCCGGAAAUAACAAACAACAAUUCCGAAAAAAUCCCCACAUGUCAUUUAAUAGUUUAAUGCAACAACAAUUUUAAGCAUUUAAAUGUUGUUAUCAUGAUGCGGAUGACAUAUGAAAGUUUAUGCAAUUUUAUGAAAACGUUAACAUGAGCAUGAUACGAGGCAUUUCAUCACCAUGGCGGAACGAAAGGGGUGCCACGGCGGCGAAACAAAAAUGGUGCCACGGCAACAUAUCCGAAAAUGAUGCCACGGCAACAUAUCAGUUCCGGUAGCUCACGAAGAUACCGGUGCAAAAGAAGGCGUGUGGAUGAGCGCAAUAUACUAGAGAUGGUGGGGUGCUCCCGACAUCCGGGUUCCCACGGGACGGGGCAUGGCAAAAGAGGGGCAUCGCAAGGACAAUUCGGACACGGUGCAAACAUAUCAUACAUCUCAUACAUGCAAGGGCAUCUCAUCGCGGUCGUCUCGGGUUAUACCUUCAAAGCGUUCAAACGGGACGGUUCGCGUUUCGUAGAGGGAAGUAGUUGUUCACGGGUCAUAGUGGAAGUAGUCGUACACGGCGUAGUGGAAGUCGUUGUUCACGUGGCGACGGUAGUUGUACACGUUUCCGUAGAUGUUCAGGUCGACAGUAGUGGUACACGCGACAUCGGGGUACUUGUCGGUCCGGUCUUGGCGGUGUAGAUGUACACGUUCCAUAAACGAACAUGGAUGUCGUGGUACUUGGCGUUACUGUGGCCUCCAGGUACUUGCCGAAAACCACAUCGGAGGUAGUCGAACCGAUCUGAAGAUGAACUUGGCGCCGAGGUCGAACUUGCCGGUGUGGAUGAAUCUGAA
rnacentral:lncRNA from 1 species